AUUGAACGCUGGCGGCAGGCCUAACACAUGCAAGUCGAACGAGUGGCGGACGGGUGAGUAAUGUCUGGGAAACUGCCCGAUGGAGGGGGAUAACUACUGGAAACGGUAGCUAAUACCGCAUACCAUCGGAUGUGCCCAGAUGGGAUUAGCUAGUAGGUGGGGUAAAGGCUCACCUAGGCGACGAUCCCUAGCUGGUCUGAGAGGAUGACAAGCCACACCUGAGAUGAGACACGGUCUAGUCUGGUAGGCGAGGCAGGAGAGAAGAAUAUUGGGCAAUGGGCGUUAGCCUGGACAAGCCAAGUAGCGUGAAGGAGGAAGGGGUAUGGGUGUUCAUCUACCUUUGUAGAAGAAUAGGUAUUCUCAGAAGAAGCAUCGGCUAACUCCGUGCCAGCAGCCGCGGUAAUAC
rnacentral:rRNA from 1 species